GAUGAACGCUGGCGGCGUGCCUAAUACAUGCAAGUCGAGCGAACAGACGAGGAGCUUGCUCCUCUGACGUUAGCGGCGGACGGGUGAGUAACACGUGGAUAACCUACCUAUAAGACUGGGAUAACUUCGGGAAGCCGGAGCUAAUACCGGAUAAUAUAUUGAACCGCAUGGUUCAAUAGUGAAAGACGGUUUUGCUGUCACUUAUAGAUGGAUCCGCGCCGCAUUAGCUAGUUGGUAAGGUAACGGCUUACCAAGGCGACGAUGCGUAGCCGACCUGAGAGGGUGAUCGGCCACACUGGAACUGAGACACGGUCCAGACUCCUACGGGAGGCAGCAGUAGGGAAUCUUCCGCAAUGGGCGAAAGCCUGACGGAGCAACGCCGCGUGAGUGAUGAAGGUCUUCGGAUCGUAAAACUCUGUUAUUAGGGAAGAACAAAUGCGUAAGUAACUAUGCACGUCUUGACGGUACCUAAUCAGAAAGCCACGGCUAACUACGUG
rnacentral:rRNA from 1 species